rnacentral:rRNA from 1 species
AUACGUAGGGGGCAAGCGUUGUCCGGAUUUACUGGGUGUAAAGGGCGCGCAGGCGGGUUGACAAGUCAGAGGUGAAAUCCUGCAGCUUAACUGCAGAACUGCCUUUGAAACUGUUAAUCUUGAGUACGGAAGAGAGAGACGGAAUUCCAGGUGUAGUGGUGAAAUACGUAGAUAUCUGGAAGAACACCAGUUGCGAAGGCGGUCUCUUGGUCCGUUACUGACGCUCAGGCGCGAAAGCGUGGGUAGCAAACAGGAUUAGAUACCCUGGUAGUCCACGCUGUAAACGAUGAAUACUAGGUGUUGGAUCGCAAGAUUCAGUGCCGCAGCUAACGCAUUAAGUAUUCCACCUGGGGAGUACGAUCGCAAGGUUGAA